rnacentral:rRNA from 1 species
AGUCAACAUGCCCAGGGGACGUGGAUAACCUCGGGAAACUGAGGAUAAACCGCGAUAGGUCAUAAUGUCUGGAAUGAUUUAUGGCUCAAACCUAUAUGGCCCCUGGAUUGGACUGCGGCCGAUCAGGCUGUUGGUGAGGUAAUGGCCCACCAAACCUAAAACCGGUACGGGCUCUGAGAGGAGAAGCCCGGAGAUGGGCACUGAGACAAGGGCCCAGGCCCUAUGGGGCGCAGCAGGCGCGAAAACUCUGCAAUAGGCGAAAGCUUGACAGGGUUAUUCUGAGUGAUCUCCGUUAAGGAAAUCUUUUGGCACCUCUAAAAAUGGUGCAGAAUAAGGGGUGGGCAAGCCUGGUGUCAGCCGCCGCGGUAAUACCAGCACCCCGAGUGGUCGGGACGAUUAUUGGGCCUAAAGCAUCCGUAGCCGGUUCUACAAGUCUUCCGUUAAAUCCACCUGCUUAACAGAUGGGCUGCAGAGGAUACUAUAGAGCUAGGAGGCGGGAGAGGCAAGCGGUACUCAGUGGGUAGGGGUAAAAUCCGUUGAUCCACUGAAGACCACCAGUGGCGAAGGCGGCUUGCCAGAACGCGCUCG